UACGGGGGGAGCAAGCGUUGUUCGGAUUUACUGGGCGUAAAGGGCUCGUAGGCGGCCAACUAAGUCGGACGUGAAAUCCCUCGGCUUAACCGGGGAACUGCGUCCGAUACUGGAUGGCUUGAGUUCGGGAGAGGGAUGCGGAAUUCCAGGUGUAGCGGUGAAAUGCGUAGAUAUCUGGAGGAACACCGGUGGCGAAGGCGGCAUCCUGGGUCGGUAUUGACGCUGAGGAGCGAAAGCCAGGGGAGCAAACGGG
rnacentral:rRNA from 1 species